GAAAUGCGAUAAGUAGUGUGAAUUGCAGAAUUCAGUGAAUCAUCGAAUCUUUGAACGCACAUUGCGCCCUUUGGCAUUCCGAAGGGCAUGCCUGUUCGAGCGUCAUCAACACACUCAAGCCCGGCUUGGUGUUGGGCGUCUUGUCCCGCCAACGGACACGCCUGAAACGCAUCGGCGGCGGCAUCGAGGCCCGGAAGCGUAGCAAACAUUCGCGACCGAGCCCCGCGUGCCCGCGGCCGCAACCCCCCACGUACUCAAGACCUCGGAUCAGGUAGGGAUACCCGCUGAACUUAA
rnacentral:misc_RNA from 1 species